AACGAACGCUGGCGGCAUGCCUAACACAUGCAAGUCGAACGAGACCUUCGGGUCUAGUGGCGCACGGGUGCGUAACGCGUGGGAACCUGCCCUUAGGUUCGGAAUAACUCCCCGAAAGGGGUGCUAAUACCGGAUAAUGUCUUCGGACCAAAGAUUUAUCGCCUUUGGAUGGGCCCGCGUUGGAUUAGCUAGUUGGUAGGGUAAAAGCCUACCAAGGCGACGAUCCAUAGCUGGUCUGAGAGGAUGAUCAGCCACACUGGGGCUGAGACACGGCCCAGACUCCUACGGGAGGCAGCAGGGGGGAAUAUUGGACGAUGGGCGAAAGCCUGAGCCAGCAAGGCCGCGUGAGUGAUGAAGGCCUGAGGGUUGUAAAGCUCUGUUACCCGUGAUGAUAAUGACAGUACCGGGAGAAUAAGCGCCGGCUAACUCCGUG
rnacentral:rRNA from 1 species